rnacentral:rRNA from 1 species
GACGAGGGGUCCUAGCGUUGUUCGGAAUCACUGGGCGUAAAGCGUUUGUAGGCGGCUCUAUAAGUCGGGUGUGAAAUCCCACGGCUCAACCGUGGAAGUGCAUUCGAAACUGCAGAGCUUGAAUAUGGUAGAGGAGAGUAGAUUUCCUGGUGUAGUGGUGAAAUACGUAGAUAUCAGGAGGAAUACCGGUGGCGAAGGCGACUCUCUGGACCAAUAUUGACGCUGAGAAACGAAAGUGCGGGGAUCAAACAGG